rnacentral:lncRNA from 1 species
AAUCCUUUACAAAUUGUCACAUGAAAUCGUAACAUUUUCUAAUCUGUCCUCAGUCUCAAUAAAUUAGUGUGUAUACAUAUAUGUGUGGUGAGCGCAUACAUGUCUGCGUGUUUGUGUGGGAGUAUGUAAUCGUGUCUACACAACCAUUCAGACAUAUCAGUUCACAGUUUUUCUAUAAAUAUCAUUUGGCAUUGUAGUCUCGCAUGGGAAAUCUCGUUCUUAUAGGUUUCGCAGUCUUGUAAUCUGACAACAAAACCGUAUUGUUUACACAAUGGAAGUCACGAUAAUGAAAGAAACAUGGGCUGCUGUGCUUCUGUUUCUUCAAUGUAAUAGAAAUAAUUUCAAUAUAUAUGAUCUAGAUCUACAUAAAUCUUAUAACCUCCAGCGUCAUGAAUAGACUAUCUCCAGACUGCUUAAUAAAGAGCUUUAAAGAAUUUAGAGUUAAAUAUGACACAAUGUUUGACAAUUAUUAACGUUUUUCCAAUCACAUUAGAUCUAACAACCAGCAAGAAUCAGAAACACCGUAUGAAGUGUUUUAGGUAAGCGAACAAUCUGAGUAGUAUUAAAUCAGUCGCCAGAUUCUAUCAAUAUUCCUGGAAGGUAAUACAAUGCAAAACUACUGAAAAUAUCGUUUAUGACUACGAAACUGCGCUUGUAAGUGAACUACUAAAGAUAUUUGACUUCCUAUGCAUUGAGUACCAAAAAAUCCCCAACUUUACAAUAUUAGAAAAUAUUACGAUUUCAUGUGACAAUUUCUAAAGGAUUUUUAGGUGUUUAUUUAGUUAAAAAAAAAGAGUAUUUACAAGAACUGCGCUUGUAAGUUAACUACUAAUGAUAUUUGACUUCCUAUGCAUAGAGUACCAAAAAACCCCAACUUUACAGUAUUUCGCGCGUUGGCAUGAUAUAGAUUGCUCUGGAAAUCAACGUGAUGUUGAGCCAUGAAGGAUAACGCUGAAUGUUUUAGUAAAACCUUUUGUUGUGAAGAAAGACUAAUCUGAUAUUAGCUUCUGCACUUCAUCAGACGAUGAUGAUGAAGAUAGAGUAACUGGUGUCGCUUUGGUACUUUCGUCACCAUGCCAUCUAACCGUCAAAACUUUCUCUAUGAUUGUCUCUUCUUUCAAAUCCUGCUAUGUAUUCUUGAAUUAGUUAAUUAUUGCCGACAUAUUUUGGGGUUUCCCUCCUAUAUCAUGCCAAAAAUUGUGUCAUUUUGAAUAACAAUGAAUAUUUCAAAUUUGGCGCAAGGCCCGCAGUUUUAGGGGAGAUGGUAAGUCGAUUACUUCGACCACAAUUUUUGGUUUGCGUUUUAUUUUAUCGACUGCAAACGGAUGAGAGGCCAAAUUAACUUCACUGGGAUUUGAGCUCAGAACGUGAAUGACUAGAAAGAUGCCGCAAAAGUUGUUUUUUUUUUCGAUACUCCACAUAUUAUGUCAGCUGUCCACCACCUGCCAUUCUCUAUCCUGCAAGAACUCUAUAAAAGGUUCUUGAGAUUUGAGAAUAUUUGUUGUCACCAAACCUCAAAAUCUCAUUCCUACCACCAGAUCGGUUUUAGACCAAUUUUCCUCUCUCCAUUACUAUAAGGUUAUUGUAGCUUAAUUACAUUUACUAUGCUUUCGAUUUCCAACUUUUUUUACAACAAUUUUUCUCUCACUCCACUCAUACCUUAUAGUUAUUUGCAUUUAUCUUUUGUAUGUCCUUCCGUAUAUUUCUGAUAUUCUGUCUCCCUGUGCAUAGAGAUAGAAUGUAUUUGACUAACAAGCUAAUUACAACUGUCGAGAAUUGGUAGUUUGAAGAUAACAAAUACCAAAAACUAUUUUGUUUGAUGCACCAUCGAUUUUGUCAAUCAGUCAACCUUGUAAUUUUUAUUAAAGAGCGUGAUUAAUCAUGCUUUUAAAUCAAAGCAACAUGGUAGUAUAAUCGAUGAUAUAUACAUAAUUUCUCUUACAUACUGCCCAGGUUACAGUGUGAGAUCUUAAGCAGUUGGAAUCGCAUUCAUAAUACAUAUGUACACAUGGUUGACAGAAGGCUUUUCCUAAUAAUAACUUUUCAUAUUAGUAAAUUUUCUUUUCUUUUAUCUUUUACUAGUUUUGACUUUUGGUGACUAGCCAUGCUGGGGCGCUACUUAGACGACUUCUGUAGAAAGAAUCAAGCCCAGUGCUUAUCAUUUAAUUGUGGUAAUUAUUCAAAACCGUCCCUAUUACCGAAGCGCUAAGUUAUGGACACCUAAAAAAAGCAAAUAUUGCUAUUGCUAACGGGUGGAAUAAACACCUGCUGUUAAACGGUGAGGAGCGAACACACAUUCACACACGCUCACAUACACAGACACACAUACACACACAUAUGUAUAUACAGGACAGGUUUCCUUCAGUUUCCAUGUACCAAAUCCACUCAAAAGGAUUUGGUCAACCCGAGUACCGAAAAUGCCAUGCAGUUGGACUGAGCUCGGAAUCCUGUCAUUGGAAACAAGCUUCUAACCACAUAGCCACGCCUGCGCCUAUAAUUAAUGCGUAAUUCUAAUCUUUUAUAAAAAAGCGUAAUUAUUGAAGUCAAUAGUGUAAACUCAAAAUUAGGCAAAAGUAGUAUCUUCAUUCCGUCAUAGAGCACGUUUCAAAAUAUUUUGCUACAACUAUUAAAAUAUGUUGCUUACAAUCCAGCGAAGGGUCUCCACGUGAUCACUCAACUUAUAGUAUAUAGCAAGCAAAUCUUUUCUAGCUUUAAAAUCUAAAUAGUAAUCGCAAAAUGAUAUAAUGGUUGCGCUUGCAAUGAUCAAUAAUUUCAUUACUGAUCUGCUUGAAUUAUGGUUAAACAUCAACAACACAAUAUCUUUUCCAAUUCUUGAAGGAUAAUACUAGUAAUCUUCAGAUUUUGAGCUUAAGGUUGAUAUUUCCAUUUAGGAAUGAAUUUAAUCUUUUUUUACGCAAAUGGUAUGAUUUCUAAUGGUAAAGUCGAGAACAAAUGGUUCAGUUCAUAUAUAACUUGGUAUAAAAGUUGGUGCGUAAAUGUUCUUAACGUUUCUUCUAUUUAGGAAAUAUUUCACUAUCAGUCUAACAUUUAUGGGAAAAAUAAAUAAGAAAUCAAUAAAUACAUCACCCCACAUACACACACGCAUAUAUGCGUGUUUGUAUAUAUAUAUAUAUAUAUAUAUAUAUAUAUAUAUAUAUAUACAUACAUGCAUAUAUAUAUGUGUAUACAUACAUAUAUAUAUAUAUAUGUGUAUACAUACAUAUAUAUAUAUAUAUAUAUAUAUAUAUAUAUAUAUUAUCUUAUUUUAUUUAGUUUCAGCUCACAAGCUGUGGCCAUGCUGGGGCACCGCCAUUUGCUGUUGCUACAUGGUUUUACUUCACGAAUGCUUUUUAGCAAAUGCCAUCUGGUGCAUGAGAGAGUUCGAU